AACGAACGCUGGCGGCGUGCUUAACACAUGCAAGUCGAACGGAAAGGCCCUGCUUUUGUGGGGUGCUCGAGUGGCGAAAGGGUGAGUAACACGUGAGUAACCUGCCCUUGACUUUGGGAUAACUUCAGGAAACUGGGGCUAAUACCGGAUAGGAGCUCCUGCUGCAUGGUGGGGGUUGGAAAGUUUCGGCGGUUGGGGAUGGACUCGCGGCUUAUCAGCUUGUUGGUGGGGUAGUGGCUUACCAAGGCUUUGACGGGUAGCCGGCCUGAGAGGGUGACCGGCCACAUUGGGACUGAGAUACGGCCCAGACUCCUACGGGAGGCAGCAGUGGGGAAUAUUGCACAAUGGGCGGAAGCCUGAUGCAGCAACGCCGCGUGCGGGAUGACGGCCUUCGGGUUGUAAACCGCUUUCGCCUGUGACGAAGCGUGAGUGACGGUAAUGGGUAAAGAAGCACCGGCUAACUACGUG
rnacentral:rRNA from 1 species